rnacentral:tRNA from 1 species
GAUAUUAGGACUGCGGAUUUGUAGAUUACUGCGAUAUAGUAAAUUUUAGAAGGUUGAUUUUUCUCUAUAUUA